GGCUGAGGGACCGGAUUGUAUGUGGGAUUAAUGAUGACAGGAUCCAAAGGCGUCUGCUGGCGGAAACGGAUCUAACCUUUGAAAAGGCUAUGGGGAUUGCAGUAUCACAUGAGACGGCAAAUAAAAAUGCACAGGACCUGCAGACGGGCACAUCUACAAAAUGCUACAACAUCCGUAAAGGACACCAGGAACCUCGGACAUUCCAAAAGGACAGCCCAGAAUGCUACAGGUGCAAAGGAACCAGACACACAGCGGCCGAAUGUAAGUACAAAAGAGAAAAAUGUCAUGCGUGUGGCAAAGUGGGUCAUAUAGCAAGAGCCUGUAGGAGCAAAGUUAAAAACAACCAGGACAAACAUGAACAUAAAUACCAGAAGAGAGAAAGUAAACGGGGAUCUUACUAUCACUCACACAAAGUUUAUGACACAGAAGAGGAAAAGAAAAGUGAGGAUGAUGAACAGGACACUUUCACAUUAAACUGCAUCAAAAAUGGACCAAAGCUAGGGGGAAAAGUGUACAAGAUAGGACGUCAGGCCGGAGUGGACCUAAAAAAAGUCGAGCCUUACACUGUGAAAUUAAAACUUGAUGGACAACAAGUCAACUUUGAAAUUGACACCGGAUGCUGCUUAACAGUUAUGAGUGAAGGAGCAGUAAAAGAGACCUGGAAAAACACAAAACUUCCAACUUUGAAGCCCGCCAAAAUUAAAAUGCAAACCUAUACAGGGGAUCCUGUGGAGGUUAUUGGUACCACAAGAGUAAAGGUGCAGUACCAACAGCAGACAUUGAAGCUGCCCCUGAUCGUUGUAAAAGGGGACGGGCCCAGCUUGCUAGGUCGAGGCUGGCUGGAGGAUAUCAGUCUGGAUUGGAGAGAAAUAAAACACAGAUGCCAAGCUGAGAGAGUGAAUAAAGUCAAGGCAACCGAAUAUACACUACAGCAAGUGUUGAACAGGCAUGAAAAUGUAUUCAAAGAGGAACUGGGCACUCUGAGAGGCACCAAAGCCACCAUUCGGGUGAAAUCGGAUGCCUCUCCCCGUUUCUUUCGUCCUCGUUCCAUUCCUUUUGCUAUGCGAGCAAAAGUAGAUGAAGAAAUAGAACGUCUGUUAAGGGAAAACAUCAUCUCACCUGUCAAGUAUGCUGAGUGGGCAGCGCCUGUGGUGCCCAUUCUUAAACCUACAGGGACUGUAAGACUGUGUGGAGAUUACAAACUAACUGUAAAUACUGUGGCUUCUUUAGAGCAGUACCCCAUACCAAAAAUGGAGGAUCUGUUCACAGCACUUUCAGGAGGAAAGCAGUUCUCUAAGCUAGACAUGAGUCAUGCUUACCAACAAAUACUGCUGGAUGAGGAUUCCCAGAAAUAUGUGACGGUGAACACACACCGAGGACUUUUCACAUACAACAGACUGCCAUUUGGAGUCGCAUCAGCACCCGCCAUCUUCCAGAGGACGAUGGAAAACCUAUUAAAAGGUAUACCUUUUGUUGUUGUUUAUUUAGAUGACAUCUUGGUGAGUGGCAAGGAUGAGGCCGACCACCUAAAAAACUUAAC
rnacentral:lncRNA from 1 species